rnacentral:rRNA from 1 species
AACGAACGCUGGCGGCAGGCUUAACACAUGCAAGUCGAGCGCCCCGCAAGGGGAGCGGCAGACGGGUGAGUAACGCGUGGGAAUCUACCCAUCUCUACGGAAUAACGCAUGGAAACGUGUGCUAAUACCGUAUACGUCCUUCGGGAGAAAGAUUUAUCGGAGAUGGAUGAGCCCGCGUUGGAUUAGCUAGUUGGUGGGGUAAAGGCCUACCAAGGCGACGAUCCAUAGCUGGUCUGAGAGGAUGAUCAGCCACACUGGGACUGAGACACGGCCCAGACUCCUACGGGAGGCAGCAGCGGGGAAUAGUGGACAAUGGGCGCAAGCCUGAACCAGCCAUGCCGCGUGAGUGAUGAAGGCCCUAGGGUUGUAAAGCUCUUUCACCGGUGAAGAUAAUGACGGUAACCGGAGAAGAAGCCCCGGCUAACUUCGUGCCAGCCGCCGCGGUAAGAC